rnacentral:rRNA from 1 species
UACGGAGGGUGCGAGCGUUGUCCGGAAUCACUGGGCGUAAAGGGCGCGUAGGUGGCGCGGGCAGUCAACGGUGAAAGUUCGGGGCUCAACCCCGAAUCGGCCGUCGAUACUCCCGGGCUUGAGCACUGUAGAGGCUAAUGGAAUUCCGGGUGUAGCGGUGGAAUGCGUAGAGAUCCGGAAGAACACCGGUGGCGAAGGCGGCUUCCUGGUCUGCGACUGACGCUGUGGCGCGAAAGCUAGGGGAGCAAACGGG